rnacentral:rRNA from 1 species
UUAAAGCUAGCCUGUAUACCUUAACCUUAAACCUAACCUUAUUAAAUUCCUUAUAUGUUAAAUCAUAACUAAAACAUUUUAACCUUUUAGUAUGGGCGACAGAACAAAAACUCAGCGCAAUAGAUUAUGUACCGCAAGGGAAAGCUGAAAAAGAAAUGAAACAAAUAAUUAAAGUAACGAAAAGCAGAGAUUCAACCUCGUACCUUUUGCAUCAUGAUUUAGCUAGAAAAACUAGACAAAGAGAUCUUAAGCCUACCCUCCCGAAACUAAACGAGCUACUCCGAAGCAGCACAAUUUUUAGAGCCAACCCGUCUCUGUGGCAAAAGAGUGGGAAGACUUCCGAGUAGCGGUGACAAGCCUAUCGAGUUUAGUGAUAGCUGGUUGCCCAAGAAAAGAACUUUAAUUCUGCAUUAAUUUCUUCACCCCCAAAAAGUCUAUCUUAUUAAGGUUAAACAUAAAAAUUAAUAGUUAUUCAGAAGAGGUACAGCCCUUCUGAACUAAGAUACAACUUUUCAAGGCGGAAAAUGAUCAUACUUACCAAGGUUUUUACCUCAGUGGGCCCAAAAGCAGCCAUCUGUAAAGUAAGCGUCACAGCUCCAGUCUCACAAAAACCUAUAAUUUAGAUAUCCUCUCAUAAACCCCUUAACCAUUACUGGGCUAUUUUAUAAAAUUAUAAAAGAACUUAUGCUAAAAUGAGUAAUAAGAGAACAAACCUCUCCAGACAUGAGUGUAUGUUAGAAAGAAUUAAAUCACUAACAAUUAAACGAACCCAAACUGAGGCCAUUAUAUUAAUAUUACCUUAACUAGAAAACCUUAUUGUAUUAUUCGUUAACCCUACACAGGAAUGUCCUAAGGAAAGA